rnacentral:rRNA from 1 species
UACGGGGGGUGCGAGCGUUGUCCGGAAUCACUGGGCGUAAAGGGCGCGUAGGUGGUUUGAUAAGGGUGUGGUGAAAGUCCGGGGCUCAACCCCGGAUCUGCCGUGCCGACUGUCAAACUCGAGGACUGUAGAGGCAGACGGAAUUCCGGGUGUAGCGGUGGAAUGCGUAGAGAUCCGGAGGAAGACCGGUGGCGAAGGCGGUCUGCUGGGCAGUUCUGACACUGAGGCGCGACAGCGUGGGGAG